CUUCUUCAGGCUCUUACCAGGGUAAUAUGUGUGGAAUACAUUUAAUAAACAGACAGGGGCAUUAACACACAGCACACGAAAUAACAAAGCAUUUGGAAGAAACCUGUCCCAAUGACUUUCAAGAAGUAAAAUAAGAUUUCAGCACAAGCUGUUUCCAAAUGGCUUCGACUCAGACUUUCAAUGUUCGAUUCCCCAAAACCUGUCUUUAUAUUGAGUAAACACGAGUCUUAAUCUGCAACCAUGGGAACUUUAUAAGUAAACUCAGUCUG